rnacentral:rRNA from 1 species
AGAGUUUGAUCCUGGCUCAGAACGAACGCUGGCGGCAGGCUUAACACAUGCAAGUCGAGCGCCUCGCAAGAGGAGCGGCAGACGGGUGAGUAACGCGUGGGAAUCUACCUUUUGCUACGGAAUAACUCAGGGAAACUUGAGCUAAUACCGUAUGUGCCCUUUGGGGGAAAGAUUUAUCGGCAAAGGAUGAGCCCGCGUUGGAUUAGGUAGUUGGUGGGGUAAUGGCCUACCAAGCCGACGAUCCAUAGCUGGUCUGAGAGGAUGAUCAGCCACAUUGGGACUGAGACACGGCCCAAACUCCUACGGGAGGCAGCAGUGGGGAAUAUUGGACAAUGGGCGCAAGCCUGAUCCAGCCAUGCCGCGUGAGUGAUGAAGGCCCUAGGGUUGUAAAGCUCUUUCACCGGUGAAGAUAAUGACGGUAACCGGAGAAGAAGCCCCGGCUAACUUCGUGCCAGCAGCCGCGGUAAUACGAAGGGGGCUAGCGUUGUUCGGAAUUACUGGGCGUAAAGCGCACGUAGGCGGACAUUUAAGUCAGGGGUGAAAUCCCGGGGCUCAACCCCCGGAACUGCCUUUGAUACUGGGUGUCUUGAGUUCGAGAGAGGUGAGUGGAAUUCCGAGUGUAGAGGUGAAAUUCGUAGAUAUUCGGAGGAACACCAGUGGCGAAGGCGGCUCACUGGCUCGAUACUGACGCUGAGGUGCGAAAGCGUGGGGAGCAAACAGGAUUAGAUACCCUAGUAGUCC